ACACAGGUAUAAGUACACAGGGGAUAAUGGGGAAGAAGAGCGACACCUGGAGGAGGGUGGAGACAAGCACAAGGACAGGUGAAACAAAUCAGGGAGUGACAGAGACUAUAUAUGAAGUCUAACAACAAUAGUUAUUCUAUCUGUUCUAUUAUAUUGUAAUAGUUUAUAUGAUAUUGUUAGAUCUGUACUCUGACUGACAACCCCACCUACAUCUGGUAUAGGAAUGGACACAAAGUAAAGGAGGACACUUCCAGCCAGUACUCAGACUACCUUAGAGACCCAGACAGUUACUCCUGUGCUGUAAAAGGCCAUGCGUACCUCCACUCUCCUGCAGUGUAUGGCCCAAAGAACACCUCAGUGUCAGUCAGUCCCUCUGGUGAAAUAGUGGAGGGCAGUUCAGUGACUCUGACCUGCAGCAGUGAUGCCAACCCACCUGUGGACAAAUACACCUGGUA